UCCUCAUCAACCAUGCAUACUGACAAAACUGCAGCAAUCAUCGCCGUAAGCCACCUGUCUUUCUAAAACAAGCUAGAGUUCAUUCGCAUAAUUUUAUUCGGGGUAACAAGCCAUUUGCUUAUUUAUUGCUUCUAGUCUUCUUAAUUUCCAGAAAAUUUGCAGUACAUAAUUAUUAACAUUAAUAUAAGUCGGUAAUUAGCUCCAUUAAAAUGGUAGGCAGCAUGCGACGGGGGGGGGGGGGGGGUUGGAAAAGGAGAAGGGUAGGUUGAGGCAGGGAAGCAUGCAGGGUGGUCUAAGGGUUUGGUUGUUGAAGUCCGUAAAUCUAACCCUCAUGCGCCUUCACGAGAAAAUCAUUACACCUUUCACCUCCAAUUUUCCUGGGGUUUUCUUCUUUUUCUAUUUAUUACCUGUUGCAACUCAAACAUAAUCUUUGGCUGCUUUCUGAUUUUUGUGUAUUACCAUCUUUCCAUGCAUUUCCCCUCCCACUAGGAAAAUAGUUGUAACUUGGUAUUGAUAGAAGAGGUCCGAUGCUUAUCAGUACAGCUCCGACGAUCGGCGGAAACAGCAUUGAUAGAAAGCUUCAUUUCUCCAGGUUAGUUUGAUAGGCAAUCUCACACACCCAUAUACAGUUCCUUGUAUGCUUUUUUCCUUUGAAAAGAAAUGUUAUGGUGAUAGUGAAAAGCUCACAACUUUCUAACUUUUAUCCUAUAUAAUUCUUUUCCAUUUAGAUUAUUUAUUUUGCUACUGUGAAUAGUUCUUAUUAUAAUAUAAAAAAAAUUCUAAAGGAAGGUCAGUCCCUAUACAAUCACAAUGCCAAUAAUUUUCAUAUAUAUGUGCAUUUAUUUAUCUAAUGGUAUAUGAUUAUUCUAACAACAUAUUUUUUAGGAAAAUGUUAAUAAGUUUGUAGUGAUAUUUAAAGAAAUAAAGUACCAUUGUGAUAUUGUACCGCCAUUAGUACUUUUUUUUAUUGCAUUCAGUACUAAAAGUAAUUAAAUGCAAAAAAGAGAGAGAGUAAAAUAAUAAUAUUUUCAUUUGUCAAAAAAUCUCUUGAGAACGCACCAAUAAUAAGAUGGGUGUAUGUUUGAUACCUAAGUAGAUUUGUUGAGAAAAACCUUUUGUGGAAGAAGCUUGGAGCUCUAUUUCCCUGCUGGAGCGGGCGGCUACCAGGUUGGCCAUCGCCCACACUUCCUUUCAGUUUUUCCGACCCCUUUCACUAUUGAAAAAUAUUAUGGAUUUUUGCAUAAACUAUGUACGAAAUCUUAAAAGUUCCGAAAAACGUGUCUUAGGGCUAUCACAUUAAAACCCAAGCCCAAAUAGGUCCACAAGGAAGUAACCAAGUAUCGGAUGAAUUGACGUCCACAAAAAUGGUAGGGCAUUGGGCAUGCAUGCAUGCCGCCCACCUACUUCUCAAAAUUCACCUGCCAGUCUUGCCUUCUUCACCCACCUAACCUACUACGCUUGGGGUCGUACCUUUAGUGUCUGUUCUUACUAUUGCUUUGGUAGCUGCUUCAAUUUUAAACUUGUCAUUUAUUUUUUCUAAAUAAAAUUACAUAUACAUUUCAAGAUUAUGAUUACGAAUCGAUUUCUAAAAUUUUAAAAUAUCAAGUUUAUCAAUAUUUAUAUUUAAUUUAAUUUUAUAUUAAAAAUUGUUAAUUAUAUAUUAAUUUAUUAAUUGAUUCAUUUGUUUGAUUUAAUUUACUGUUUUUUAAUAGGAUGUAGCUUGUCCUAGCUAUUAAAAUAUUUUAAGCUAAAGGAAAUUAUCAAUUAAGCCAUUGAAAAAAAAAGUACUCAAUGAGCUCUUAAACAUUAGAUUUUCCAUCAAUUAAGCUUUUCUUAUUAUUAAAGUCAAUGGUACCAUUUUUUUCUAUUUUUGAGUUAUUUUCACCAUGUAUCAUGUAGAUUGUGCUACGUGACAAAAUUGAUAUUUUCUAUUUAAAAUAAGGAAAAAUAUAUAAAAAAUUAAAAAGUUAUAAAAAAUUAAAGAAAAUUGCAGAAAUAUAUUAAAAAUAUGAAAAUAAAAAAAAUUAUAUAAAUUACGAAAACUAAAAAAAUUAUGAAAAAAUAUUUAAAAUCCCUAUAAAAUUAUUAAAAUUUACAAAAUACUAUAAAAAGCAUAGAAACUAUAAAAAAUAAAAAAAUAUAUGAAAAAAUUAUAAAAUCAUUUUUUAUUUCCACACUAACCAUUGUUGACAAUACAAUACCUAUUAAAAAUUACAAAAAAAAAAUUGAUCCCUAAAGCUAUUUAUUGUGUUGAUCCAUCAAAGUAGCAAGGAAGUGUUAUGAGAUGCAAAUUAAGGUUGGGAAAUGGGUUGAUAUGGCAAAUAAAAUGACAACAGAGGCUAUAUAUAUAUAUAUAUAUAUAUAUAUAUAUAUAUAUAUAUAUCUUUAAAUUUAUCUAAUUCUUUUAAUUUUCUACUUUUUAAUAUUGUCAAUAACUUUUUAAUAUUUUUUUUACUUUUUUAUAAUAUUUUUUGUAAAUUUCAAUUAUAAUUUUUAUAUAAUUUUGUAUAAAUUUUUUAAUGAUUUUAAAUUGAAAAUAUCAAUUUUUUCCUUGGGGAAUUUAACGUAUUUUUUAUGUGGCGGAAACAUAAUAAUAAUAAUAAUAAUAAUUAUGUAUUAAUUUGUUUGUUGAUGAAACAUGACACAAACAUGUUUUACUUUAUGUUUCGAGUCUUAAUUAUGUAGUGGUAAUUAGCCACAAGUUGCCUCUCUGUUUUUUUUAUGAUUGGUUUGUCAGCAUACUUUAAGUAAAGGUGUUAAAAGAAUAGCCUCUCUUCUCUUGCUUCCACGCAACUAAAUUGCAACUAUUUCCUCUAAUCUUUUUUUUUAAUUUAUUAAAAAUGCUAUAACAUAUAUUAAAUAAUUAAACAAAUAAAUGAAAGGCUGAGUAAAAAUCAAAUGGUUAAAUACAAGUACAAGGGCUCGAUUGAACACAGCCUAUUCAUUUAAAGACUUUUUUAGAAUAUUAAAUAUUAAUAAUUUUGAGUAAAGCUGCUGUUCAUGUAUAGAGUUAUGGGUCAGCUUGGAUAAACAAAAUCAUGUGCUCACGAUCCAAUCGGUUGAGAUGGGGUAUUCAAAAAUAUUAAAAAUGAUUUCCAUAAAUAUGUAUCUAAGGCUUAAUGAUUAAAAAUUGUAGUUGUUAAGCUCUUAAAAGAAAAUUAUUUUAUUAAAUUUUCAGUGUCAAAAAAUCAAUUAUAUCUUUCUAAUGUGACUAAUCAAAAUUUGCACAUAUUUAAUUUUUUUUUAAGAAAAUACACGUUAAAAAUAAAUUUAAAUAAAAGAAUGUCCAAAUUUAUAUAAAAAUCUAGGACAUUCAUUUCAUUCUAUACAUAAUUCAAAAUAUUCUAAAAUGAACAUUAUUUCAUCAUUUUUUUUUGCUUUGUUACAGAGUAUUUGAAACAUGUUAAAAAUGAAAAUUAUUUGAUCAUUAAAUGUUUCAAAACAAAACAAAAAGAGAUGUUGAUGUUGAUUUUCAUAAGAAUUAUUUUUCAGUAACCGAAAGCUUAACAAGUUCAAUUGGUGGGCCUUUUAGGCUUAAUUUUUGGGAUAAAGAGUGGCAGAGAUGAGAAGAUACAUUUUCCUUUCCUCAAAGUAGAUGGAAAGUCAAAUUUGAAUCAACAUAUUUGCCCUAAAUGAAGCAUGAUAUUUUUUUAUCCUAUCAUACAUGUAAUCGAUUGUUUUUACACUUUUUUUUAUAUUUUUUUGAACUUACUUUUAUAAUUUUUAUAAUAUUCUUAACCAUACUCAAAAUAAAUCCAAUAAAUGAAUUUAAACGUUUAUUUGUCUAGGUUUAUUUUGGAUGUGCAUUUUUAAUAAUUCUUUUAAAAAUAUAUGCCCACAUAUCAUGUCAUGUGUAACUUCCAUCAACUAAAUUAGCAUUUAUUAACAAUCAAAUCGAUCAAUGGCAGUUUUCUAAUUAAAAUUUUUUAUCCCUUAAACUAUACAGUGUAUAUGUCUGUGACUCAUUGCAAGAUGGCGGUAGCUAAUACCUAUAUAACGUUUUGAGUUUUCUCAACUCCAAACAGCUCUUUGAUAUUUGCUUGCAAAAUUUUGGGAAUCAACCAUGCAACUGGUUAGCGAAUGUCACCUUAUUAGUCUCCCCCAUCGUAUUCUAUAUGGAUAUCUAAGCAGCUAAAUGACUACAAGAAAGAAAGAUUUUCAACGUCACUUUCUUAGUGAAAUGUCGCUAAGAGGGGAGAACUCGUCUUUUAGAAUACAUGUCGAUUCUUCUUUCGAUCUUAAAGACUUAAGUAACGUUGAACCAAAUUUUAAAAACCAUGAAUGAUUUUGUGAAUUACAAAUUUUAAAAUUUUCUUUCUUAGAAAAAAAUAUUAAAAUUAAAAUAACUAAUAACUUAAACAUUCAGAAAAACAUGAUUUCUCUCUCAAGUAUGGAAUUAAUGCUAAUUUCGAUAACACAUAUAAAGAAAUUAUUUACAUGCAAAAUAACAUUAAAAAGAAAAAAAACUCAUUUCAUCUAAUAACUUAGUCUAUGCAUGAUGUAAUAAUGUUAACAUUGUGCAAUUUUGUAUGGAGCAUGCAUGAGUUCAAUUUAUUGUCUCCACUAGCAUAUGGUUGGGAAAAUCUAAUACGUAGUUAUAUAUAUAUAUAUAUAUAUAUAUUUGAUAAAUCUUGAAUGAGCAAAUCAAUGUAAUAUAAUAUGUCCAACUUAAAGACUUAAAUCGAUUCGUAAUAUAUUUGGAGUCUGAAUCUCAUUUACAAUAACAAUUAUAUAUUCUUAUUCCCAAGAUAUAACCCCUUCUAUAUAUUAAAAGAAACCAAACACGUAGUAUAGAUGGUGAACUCCUCAAAAUAGAGUCUGUCACACAAUCUAGACAUUCUAUUUCUUUGUAUUAGUUGGAACUUAUACGCACACAUGCACAUACGUAUACAUAUUACAUAUAUUCACAGAGGGGUGGAAGAAAUAGCAGUGGAAUAUUGAGCCAACUCAUAGGAAGUAAUACUCAACCUUUUGCUUCAAUAAUUUCAUUAAUUUCUGUAGGAAAUUACAGAUUUAGGGAUUGAUACAUUUUAAUAGACACUACGAAUAAGACUACAAACUUUCAUUGUAGGUGCAAGCAUACAAAUAAAAUGAGUACAUAACAUUAACACAACCGAGCAAUGAAAGAAAGAAAAAGGAAAAAUAAAUACAAGCAAACGUAGAAAAUCUAAAAACAUCUAAUUUCAAUAUGCAUAUAAAUUUGCAGUUUGAUCUGCUAAAGUUGAUGCAGAUAAUGAUAAUGAUUGUUGAAAGAGUUUGGCUCAUUCCCAAAACCAACCAUUGCAGAUAUGAGUUCGGUUUCCCACAUGUCGCCAUGACUCAAGUUCUGAGAAGAUUCUGCGGCUGCUGCUGCCGGUGCCACCAAAUUAUUAGGUUGCUGCUCUACUGGGUGUUGAUUAACAAGCAAGUUUUCAUUAAUCA
rnacentral:lncRNA from 1 species